UGAUCUGUCAAAUUAAUUACCGCGACGACAUUUUUUAAAUAAGACAUAACUAUUUAAUGAUUUUGAUACAAAUUUAUAUCAAAUCUAUCAAAAUUGAAAAAAAAUGUUCGGUUAACCGGUUAGCGUUUUUGGUAUUCGGUAUUUGGUCGUCGUUAACAGGUUAACCAGAUAGCAUUUUUAGUAUUCGGUAUUUGGUCGUUCACCCGUUAACUGUUGACAACACUACUAUAAAGUUAUGGCUUGAUGUUUAUUAUAACUGUACUACUUGUUAAGUUUAUUCUGUUUAAAUGCUACCAUUUAUACUCAAUACAAAAGUGCUUAUAACUAGAUUUUAAAUCGUAAAUUGUUUGAAAGGUUCAAAGGUUGAAUCCCACAUUUAUGGUAUGUAUGAUAUUCAUUAGACUAAGACUUUUAUCGCUGUAUAUUAUUGUGCAAUAAUUUAUCACUAUGAUGUUACCUGUUGAGAAUUA
rnacentral:lncRNA from 1 species